rnacentral:rRNA from 1 species
CCUACGGGUGGCAGCAGUGGGGAAUAUUGCGCAAUGGGCGAAAGCCUGACGCAGCGACGCCGCGUGAGGGAUGAAGGUCUUCGGAUCGUAAACCUCUGUCAGCAGGGAAGAACGGUCACUUUGCUAAUCAGCAGUGCAUUGACGGUACCUGCAAAGGAAGCGCCGGCUAACUCCGUGCCAGCAGCCGCGGUAAUACGGAGGGUGCGAGCGUUAAUCGGAAUUACUGGGCGUAAAGCGAUCGUAGGCGGUAUGGCAAGUCAAGGGUGAAAUCCCCGCGCUCAACGGGGGAACUGCCUUUGAAACUGGCAAACUGGAGUGUAGGAGAGGAUAGUGGAAUUCCAGGUGUAGGAGUGAAAUGCGUAGAUAUCUGGAGGAACAUCAGUGGCGAAGGCGACUAUCUGGAACAUAACUGACGCUGAGGAGCGAAAGCGUGGGUAGCAAACAGGAUUAGAUACCCUUGUAGUC